rnacentral:snRNA from 1 species
GUUUUCACUUCAGCAGCACAUACAGUAAAAUUAGAACAACACAAAGAAGACUAGCAUGGUCCC